GCUGGGAUAGCUGAGUUGGUAAAGCAUGCGACUCUUAAUCUCAGGGUUUGAGCCCCACAUUGGGCA